rnacentral:rRNA from 1 species
GACGAACGCUGGCGGCGUGCUUAACACAUGCAAGUCGAACGAAGUGGCGAACGGGUGAGUAACGCGUAAUCAACCUGCCCUUCAGCGGGGAAAAACAGUUGGAAACGACUGCUAAUACCACAUACUGAAGGAGGGGAUUGCGUCUGAUUAGCUAGUUGGGGGGGUAACGGCCCACCAGGGCGAGGAGCAGUAGCCGGGCUGAGAGGAUGAACGGCCACAUUGGGACUGAGGCCAGGCCCCGAAUCCCACCGGAGGCAACAGUGGGGAAUCUUCCGCAAUGGACGAAAGUCUGACGGAGCAACGCCGCGGGAGGGAUGGCGGCCUUUGGGUUGUUAAGCUCUGUUAAUCGGGAAGCGGUACCGGAAUAGAAAGCCACGGCUAACUACGUGCCAGCAGCCGCGGUAAUAC